ACACAAACACACAUUCGUGUGUGUUCUACGUCGAUCAGAAGCUCCCAAAGGAGCCAAACCCUAGCUCAAGCUUAUUUGCUCAAAUUGAAAGGGGAAUUCAACCCAAAUCUAAUGCAUGUACCCGAAUUCUUAGUCAUCUAGCCCUAAAGAUCACUUGAAUAGGAACCACACUAGCAUGGACCAAGCAUGGAAGGCUAACGGGUCAAGAUGAGGCAAGCAAGCGGGUAUGAACACGGAUGCACAAGGAAUGAGUACAUCGGAUUCUUAUGAAAUUUAAGCCCAACCCGGAAUAAGAGGAUGAGUGAUACACGGACUUCUUCCGCUACUUAGGAGGUGAAGCGGACGUAAAUCGAGUCAAGAGCAAGGAUUGCACGGAUAGAUCGACCAUAUAGUUGAAAUAUAUAACGUCUAGAAAUGUAAAUUUUAGUAUGAAUGUUGUGAAUUCUUUUAUAGAACGUUUAACAUUUUAGCUUUUGGAACCUUCUCGAAAGUAAUGUCGUUAAUAAGGAAGGAAAUUUUUAAAGCUC